CCCAAUCCCUCUCUUAAAACCUAAAACUGACUCUGCCCACGCCUAUUGUCAAUUCACGAUGUCAAAACCCUAGAUAGGCGAAUGGGCGAUUCCCCAAUCCUUCCUCCACAUCACCGAAGAUUCACCAAUUGUUCUGCAUAAAACCUAGAUCGACGACUCCUUAAUGGUUCCUCUAACCAAUUUCUGUCACACUUUUGCUAGUACAUCGAAGUUGUUCUCGAUUUCACGUCGUUUCACGGAUCUGAGGUAUUUAAGAUUUAUUUUUUGUAGUAUCAUGGCACGUAGUACAGCAGAUGCCGGCAGAUGUUGUGGUUUUGUGGCAGGAGGCGGCAGAGGGCAAGGUUGGAAGAUGCCCUCUUAUUUGUGUACUUGGGGUGCCAAAUCACAUGACAUAUGCUGAUUUUUGCCGGUUUUGUGGUUCCUUUAUUCAUCAUAUAUUGGAGAUGCGUGUUGUCAGACAGAGUCAUGUCGUGUGCUUUUCACUGUUGAUGUACAAUAUACACACCUAAUCGAACACACACAAACUUCCCUUGCAAGCACAGAGCAGCCCUCAUGUCCAGUCUUCAAUAUCAAACCAGUUACGUCUUUAAAUAGCGGUUUAUUCAUGUUUCAGAAGACAUUAAUAGCUUUAAUAUACUGGUGUAGAUAAUCUAAACGAAAAAUCUUGAAGUGUUAACUUACCCAACACCGUUUUUGUCUGCAUGAAGUUUUACGAAUUAUUUUACGUCUUUUUGUGUAGAGAGAUUGGAUCAAGAUAUGAGUGGAAUUUUGAUGACAAUGUGCAAUCACUCAUUCCAUUGCUCAUGUAUUUCAAAGUGGACCGAUUCUUCGUGCCCGGUGGCUGCAACUGCAGGUUUUGGUGAGAUAAUGAGCUAUUAAAACCUACAAAUGUCUCAAAAUUUCCUAGCCCAUCAAAACUAGUUAUGCGGUUUUUGGUUUGCAAACAAGACCAAGAGAUCGAAAGGUUGAACGUGAUUAUCCAAGAUAUAGUGAAAGAAAAAGAAAGGUUGAAUAAUAUUAUUGCUGUAUUGGUGGUGGAAAAAGAGAAAGAUAAGAUGGAGAAAGAGGCUAUGAAUGAAAGGACGGCAAACAUUGAAGUGAUGCUAAAAGCUAGGUUUCAAAACGUAUAAUUAUCGACUUAGGUUUCAAAACAUAUAGACACUUUGUUUUGAAUAUGUAUUUUGUUAUGAUAACUUUGGUA